rnacentral:rRNA from 1 species
GAUGAACGCUGGCGGCGUGCCUAAUACAUGCAAGUCGAGCGAACAGACGAGGAGCUUGCUCCUCUGACGUUAGCGGCGGACGGGUGAGUAACACGUGGAUAACCUACCUAUAAGACUGGGAUAACUUCGGGAAACCGGAGCUAAUACCGGAUAAUAUAUUGAACCGCAUGGUUCAAUAGUGAAAGACGGUUUUGCUGUCACUUAUAGAUGGAUCCGCGCCGCAUUAGCUAGUUGGUAAGGUAACGGCUUACCAAGGCAACGAUGCGUAGCCGACCUGAGAGGGUGAUCGGCCACACUGGAACUGAGACACGGUCCGGACUCCUACGGAAGGCAGCAGUAGGGAAUCUUCCGAAAGGGGCGAAACCUGACGGAGCAACGCCGCGUGAGUGAUGAAGGUCUUCGGAUCGUAAAACUCUGUUAUUAGGGAAGAACAAAUGUGUAAGUAACUAUGCACGUCUUGACGGUACCUAAUCAGAAAGCCACGGCUAACUACGUG